rnacentral:rRNA from 1 species
UGAGGAAUAUUGGUCAAUGGUCGGGGAGCCUGAUCCAACCAAGGUACCUGUGCAGGAUGACUGCCCUAUGGGAUUGUAAACUGCUUUUAUACGGAAGAAGAAACCUCCCGUGUGAGGGGAUUGUCCGUACCAGUAUGAAUAAGGACCGGCUAAUUCCAGUG